rnacentral:rRNA from 1 species
GGGUUGUGAGGUUAAGCGACUAAGCGUACACGGUGGAUGCCCUGGCAGUCAGAGGCGAUGAAGGGCGUGCUAAUCUGCGAUAAGCGCCGGUAAGGUGAUAUGAACCGUUAUAACCGGCGAUACCCGAAUGGGGAAACCCAGUGUGAUUCGUCACACUAUCAUUAACUGAAUCCAUAGGUUAAUGAGGCGAACCGGGGGAACUGAAACAUCUAAGUACCCCGAGGAAAAGAAAUCAACCGAGAUUCCCCCAGUAGCGGCGAGCGAACGGGGAGGAGCCCAGAGCCUGAAUCAGCAUGUGUGUUAGUGGAAGCGUCUGGAAAGGCGCGCGAUACAGGGUGACAGCCCCGUACACAAAAGCGCAUGUGCUGUGAGCUCGAUGAGUAGGGCGGGACACGUGGUAUCCUGUCUGAAUAUGGGGGGACCAUCCUCCAAGGCUAAAUACUCCUGACUGACCGAUAGUGAACCAGUACCGUGAGGGAAAGGCGAAAAGAACCCCGGCGAGGGGAGUGAAAAAGAACCUGAAACCGUGUACGUACAAGCAGUGGGAGCNNGUGACUGCGUACCUUUUGUAUAAUGGGUCAGCGACUUAUAUUCUGUAGCAAGGUUAACCGAAUAGGGGAGCCGGAGGGAAACCGAGUCUUAAUUGGGCGUUAAGUUGCAGGGUAUAGACCCGAAACCCGGUGAUCUAGCCAUGGGCAGGUUGAAGGUUGGGUAACACUAACUGGAGGACCGAACCGACUAAUGUUGAAAAAUUAGCGGAUGACCUGUGGCUGGGGGUGAAAGGCCAAUCAAACCGGGAGAUAGCUGGUUCUCCCCGAAAGCUAUUUAGGUAGCGCCUCGUGAAUUCAUCUCCGGGGGUAGAGCACUGUUUCGGCUAGGGGGCCAUCCCGGCUUACCAACCCGAUGCAAACUGCGAAUACCGGAGAAUGUUAUCACGGGAGACACACGGCGGGUGCUAACGUCCGUCGUGAAGAGGGAAACAACCCAGACCGCCAGCUAAGGUCCCAAAGUCAUGGUUAAGUGGGAAACGAUGUGGGAAGGCCCAGACAGCCAGGAUGUUGGCUUAGAAGCAGCCAUCAUUUAAAGAAAGCGUAAUAGCUCACUGGUCGAGUCGGCCUGCGCGGAAGAUGUAACGGGGCUAAACCAUGCACCGAAGCUGCGGCAGCGANNGUUGGGUAGGGGAGCGUUCUGUAAGCCUGUGAAGGUGUGUCGUGAGGCAUGCUGGAGGUAUCAGAAGUGCGAAUGCUGACAUAAGUAACGAUAAAGCGGGUGAAAAGCCCGCUCGCCGGAAGACCAAGGGUUCCUGUCCAACGUUAAUCGGGGCAGGGUGAGUCGACCCCUAAGGCGAGGCCGAAAGGCGUAGUCGAUGGGAAACGGGUUAAUAUUCCCGUACUUGGUGUUACUGCGAAGGGGGGACGGAGAAGGCUAUGUUGGCCGGGCGACGGUUGUCCCGGUUUAAGCGUGUAGGUGUGUGUUCCAGGUAAAUCCGGUUCACUUUAACACUGAGGCGUGAUGACGAGGCACUACGGUGCUGAAGUAACAAAUGCCCUGCUUCCAGGAAAAGCCUCUAAGCAUCAGGUAACAUCAAAUCGUACCCCAAACCGACACAGGUGGUCAGGUAGAGAAUACCAAGGCGCUUGAGAGAACUCGGGUGAAGGAACUAGGCAAAAUGGUGCCGUAACUUCGGGAGAAGGCACGCUGACACGUAGGUGAAGUGAUUUACUCAUGGAGCUGAAGUCAGUCGAAGAUACCAGCUGGCUGCAACUGUUUAUUAAAAACACAGCACUGUGCAAACACGAAAGUGGACGUAUACGGUGUGACGCCUGCCCGGUGCCGGAAGGUUAAUUGAUGGGGUCAGCGCAAGCGAAGCUCCUGAUCGAAGCCCCGGUAAACGGCGGCCGUAACUAUAACGGUCCUAAGGUAGCGAAAUUCCUUGUCGGGUAAGUUCCGACCUGCACGAAUGGCGUAAUGAUGGCCAGGCUGUCUCCACCCGAGACUCAGUGAAAUUGAACUCGCUGUGAAGAUGCAGUGUACCCGCGGCAAGACGGAAAGACCCCGUGAACCUUUACUAUAGCUUGACACUGAACAUUGAGCCUUGAUGUGUAGGAUAGGUGGGAGGCUUUGAAGUGUGGACGCCAGUCUGCAUGGAGCCGACCUUGAAAUACCACCCUUUAAUGUUUGAUGUUCUAACGUGGACCCGUGAUCCGGGUUGCGGACAGUGUCUGGUGGGUAGUUUGACUGGGGCGGUCUCCUCCUAAAGAGUAACGGAGGAGCACGAAGGUUGGCUAAUCCUGGUCGGACAUCAGGAGGUUAGUGCAAUGGCAUAAGCCAGCUUGACUGCGAGCGUGACGGCGCGAGCAGGUGCGAAAGCAGGUCAUAGUGAUCCGGUGGUUCUGAAUGGAAGGGCCAUCGCUCAACGGAUAAAAGGUACUCCGGGGAUAACAGGCUGAUACCGCCCAAGAGUUCAUAUCGACGGCGGUGUUUGGCACCUCGAUGUCGGCUCAUCACAUCCUGGGGCUGAAGUAGGUCCCAAGGGUAUGGCUGUUCGCCAUUUAAAGUGGUACGCGAGCUGGGUUUAGAACGUCGUGAGACAGUUCGGUCCCUAUCUGCCGUGGGCGCUGGAGAACUGAGGGGGGCUGCUCCUAGUACGAGAGGACCGGAGUGGACGCAUCACUGGUGUUCGGGUUGUCAUGCCAAUGGCACUGCCCGGUAGCUAAAUGCGGAAGAGAUAAGUGCUGAAAGCAUCUAAGCACGAAACUUGCCCCGAGAUGAGUUCUCCCUGAGACUUAAAGUCUCCUGAAGGAACGUUGAAGACGACGACGUUGAUAGGCCGGGUGUGUAAGCGCAGCGAUGCGUUGAGCUAACCGGUACUAAUGAACCGUGAGGCUUAACCCUACAACGCCGAAG